UGGACGAACGCUGGCGGCGUGCCUAAUACAUGCAAGUAGAACGCUGAAGAGAGGAGCUUGCUCUUCUUGGAUGAGUUGCGAACGGGUGAGUAACGCGUAGGUAACCUGCCUUGUAGCGGGGGAUAACUAUUGGAAACGAUAGCUAAUACCGCAUAACAAUGGAUGACACAUGUCAUUUAUUUGAAAGGGGCAAUUGCUCCACUACAAGAUGGACCUGCGUUGUAUUAGCUAGUAGGUGAGGUAACGGCUCACCUAGGCGACGAUACAUAGCCGACCUGAGAGGGUGAUCGGCCACACUGGGACUGAGACACGGCCCAGACUCCUACGGGAGGCAGCAGUAGGGAAUCUUCGGCAAUGGGGGCAACCCUGACCGAGCAACGCCGCGUGAGUGAAGAAGGUUUUCGGAUCGUAAAGCUCUGUUGUAAGUCAAGAACGAGUGUGAGAGUGGAAAGUUCACACUGUGACGGUAGCUUACCAGAAAGGGACGGCUAACUACGUGCCAGCAGCCGCGGUAAUACGUAGGUCCCGAGCGUUGUCCGGAUUUAUUGGGCGUAAAGCGAGCGCAGGCGGUUUGAUAAGUCUGAAGUUAAAGGCUGUGGCUCAACCAUAGUUCGCUUUGGAAACUGUCAAACUUGAGUGCAGAAGGGGAGAGUGGAAUUCCAUGUGUAGCGGUGAAAUGCGUAGAUAUAUGGAGGAACACCGGUGGCGAAAGCGGCUCUCUGGUCUGUAACUGACGCUGAGGCUCGAAAGCGUGGGGAGCGAACAGGAUUAGAUACCCUGGUAGUCCACGCCGUAAACGAUGAGUGCUAGGUGUUGGAUCCUUUCCGGGAUUCAGUGCCGCAGCUAACGCAUUAAGCACUCCGCCUGGGGAGUACGACCGCAAGGUUGAAACUCAAAGGAAUUGACGGGGGCCCGCACAAGCGGUGGAGCAUGUGGUUUAAUUCGAAGCAACGCGAAGAACCUUACCAGGUCUUGACAUCCCGAUGCUAUUUCUAGAGAUAGAAAGUUACUUCGGUACAUCGGUGACAGGUGGUGCAUGGUUGUCGUCAGCUCGUGUCGUGAGAUGUUGGGUUAAGUCCCGCAACGAGCGCAACCCCUAUUGUUAGUUGCCAUCAUUCAGUUGGGCACUCUAGCGAGACUGCCGGUAAUAAACCGGAGGAAGGUGGGGAUGACGUCAAAUCAUCAUGCCCCUUAUGACCUGGGCUACACACGUGCUACAAUGGUUGGUACAACGAGUUGCGAGUCGGUGACGGCAAGCUAAUCUCUUAAAGCCAAUCUCAGUUCGGAUUGUAGGCUGCAACUCGCCUACAUGAAGUCGGAAUCGCUAGUAAUCGCGGAUCAGCACGCCGCGGUGAAUACGUUCCCGGGCCUUGUACACACCGCCCGUCACACCACGAGAGUUUGUAACACCCGAAGUCGAUGAGGUAACCUUUUGGAGCCAGCCGCCUAAGGUGG
rnacentral:rRNA from 1 species